CCUACGGGAGGCAGCAGUGAGGAAUAUUGGUCAAUGGACGCAAGUCUGAACCAGCCAUGCCGCGUGCAGGAAGACGGCUCUAUGAGUUGUAAACUGCUUUUGUACGAGGGUAAACGCAGAUACGCGUAUCUGUCUGAAAGUAUCGUACGAAUAAGGAUCGGCUAACUCCGUGCCAGCAGCCGCGGUAAUACGGAGGAUUCAAGCGUUAUCCGGAUUUAUUGGGUUUAAAGGGUGCGUAGGCGGUCUGAUAAGUUAGAGGUGAAAUCCCGAGGCUCAACUUCGGAAUUGCCUCUGAUACUGUUCGGCUUGAGAGUAGUUGCGGUAGGCGGAAUGUAUGGUGUAGCGGUGAAAUGCUUAGAGAUCAUACAGAACACCGAUUGCGAAGGCAGCUUACCAAGCUACUUCUGACGUUGAGGCACGAAAGCGUGGGGAGCAAACAGGAUUAGAUACCCGAGUAGUC
rnacentral:rRNA from 1 species